rnacentral:pre_miRNA from 15 species
GGGCCAGCUUCGCCAUGGGUGCUUGAGGAGAGGUUGUCUGUGAUGAGUUCGCUUUACUAAUGACGAAUAUAACACAGAUGGCCUGUUUUCAGUACCUCCUGCGACUCGGCAGCUUG